AUUGAACGCUGGCGGAAUGCUUUACACAUGCAAGUCGAACGGCAGCACGGGGGCAACCCUGGUGGCGAGUGGCGAACGGGUGAGUAAUACAUCGGAACGUGCCCAGUCGUGGGGGAUAACGUAGCGAAAGCUACGCUAAUACCGCAUACGAUCUACGGAUGAAAGCGGGGGAUCGCAAGACCUCGCGCGAUUGGAGCGGCCGAUGGCAGAUUAGGUAGUUGGUGGGGUAAAGGCCUACCAAGCCGACGAUCUGUAGCUGGUCUGAGAGGACGACCAGCCACACUGGGACUGAGACACGGCCCAGACUCCUACGGGAGGCAGCAGUGGGGAAUUUUGGACAAUGGGCGCAAGCCUGAUCCAGCCAUUCCGCGUGCAGGAUGAAGGCCCUCGGGUUGUAAACUGCUUUUGUACGGAACGAAAAGGCCUAGGCUAAUACCUUGGGCUCAUGACGGUACCGUAAGAAUAAGCACCGGCUAACUACGUGCCAGCAGCCGCGGUAAUACGUAGGGUGCGAGCGUUAAUCGGAAUUACUGGGCGUAAAGCGUGCGCAGGCGGUGAUGUAAGACAGAUGUGAAAUCCCCGGGCUCAACCUGGGAACUGCGUUUGUGACUGCAUCACUCGAGUACGGCAGAGGGAGGUGGAAUUCCGCGUGUAGCAGUGAAAUGCGUAGAUAUGCGGAGGAACACCGAUGGCGAAGGCAGCCUCCUGGGCCAGUACUGACGCUCAUGCACGAAAGCGUGGGGAGCAAA
rnacentral:rRNA from 1 species